GGGCUGGUAGCUCAGUCCGGUAGAGUGCCGCCUUGGCGUGGCGGAGGCCCCGGGUUCGAAUCCCGGCCAGUCCA
rnacentral:tRNA from 1 species